rnacentral:rRNA from 1 species
AGUGAACGCUGGCGGUAGGCCUAACACAUGCAAGUCGAACGGCAGCACAGUAAGAGCUUGCUCUUACGGGUGGCGAGUGGCGGACGGGUGAGGAAUACAUCGGAAUCUACUUUUUCGUGGGGGAUAACGUAGGGAAACUUACGCUAAUACCGCAUACGACCUACGGGUGAAAGCAGGGGAUCUUCGGACCUUGCGCGAUUGAAUGAGCCGAUGUCGGAUUAGCUAGUUGGCGGGGUAAAGGCCCACAAAGGCGACGAUCCGUAGCUGGUCUGAGAGGAUGAUACCCCCAAAGGGAAGUGAAGACCGGCGCAAACCCCAUGGGGGGGGCGCAGGGGGAAAUUUGGGAAAAGGGGCGGAAGCCUGACCCCGCCAAACCGGGUGGGUGAAGAAGGCCUUCGGGCUGUAAAGCCUUUUUGUGGGGAAAAAAAAGCAGCAGGUUAAUCCCCCGUUUUUCUGACGGUACCCAAAGAAUAAGCACCGGCUAACUUCGG